GGGACAGUUAAUCGCAGUUAACUUAACUGCCGUUAAAGUUGAUCACAGUUAUCUUUCUCCGUGAUUAAAGUGGUGUUUACACACGUUGAUAGUUAAACAGGUUAUGACGUUUGUUGCUUAUUCUGUUUCCGGUAGAAUCUUACGUCGGUAAUGGCGGACAACUUACACGCUCGUAUUGAAUCUGAUUUAAUAAAUAUGUCAUCAAGAAGCAAAACAAAGCUUUUGAACGAAUUUUUACUUUUAAAUGCACAAAAUAAUCGUUUACAGGAAGAAAUAUUGAGAUAUUCGUCUCUUAUUUUAAUAUAUUUAAGGAAGAGAAAUACACUUAUGAGACAAGCACAUCUAGCACAGGUAAAUAAUGUAUAUUAUAUAUAAAUUAUUCUUUAUGUAC
rnacentral:lncRNA from 1 species